rnacentral:ncRNA from 2 species
AGAACAUCAAAGGGGUGCUGUGCGUUUGGAGCACGGCUGAGAUUACACCCUCAAAACCUGACGCAGGUAAUGCUGCCGCAGGGAUUGAAAACAAUCUUGUC